rnacentral:snRNA from 1 species
AUCGCUUCUCGGCCUUUUGGCUAAGAUCAAGUGUAGUAUCUGUUCUUAUCAGUUUAAUAUCUGAUACGUCCCCUACCCGGGGACCAUAUAUUAAAUAGAUUUUUGGAACAGGGACAUGGAGUAGGGGCUUGCUCCGUCCACUCCACGCAUCGACCUGGUAUUGCAGUAUCUCCAGGAACGGUGCACUCCCU